GUAGCUCCUAUACGGUGACACACAUUGA
rnacentral:sRNA from 1 species